GACUGGUGUAUCGGUCCAAGACAAUCGUGAAAGGGCAAAAACAGCCUCGACGGUAGGAGAGUUUCAUAAACACCGGAGCCAGCUAAUUUGUUUCGUCUCUGAGAACGAACUCAAGAAAUGGACUGAGGCAGCAGAGAGAAAUAAAAAAUGGGGGAAUUCUCUGAGGGUUGUUGCCCUCUCUCUGCAUGCCAAUGAUUUCAUUCAAAUCGAAAGAAAAAUUAACAACCCUUCUCAGUUUUUAAGUACUCGUGCGUGUAUUUAUGUGUAUAUAUAUAUAUAUCUCUAUGUGAUCUCUGGGGCGGUGGAUCUCUGGUUAUUGCUAAUAUGGAAUACUGGCUUCUACCUCACAUUUCCAACACCACCUUUACCAAUCCAAUCUCCUUUUUUAUCUCAGACUUAGCUCCUUUCCACUGUUAUAGGCUGUGACGAUCGAAUUCGAUUGCUCUUGGGUUCAUCUGGGCAUUGAGGUUAUUCGACCCGCAUCUUGGCGGGGCAACCCGGAUGGCCUGUGGAUUGACUUUGGGCAACUGUGGUUUUGCAGCCAUGGCGGUGUCUCUCCUUCUUUGCCUGAUUACAUCACGGAUCUGAGCCUUACUUAUAUCCACAUUUUAAAAAUAAAUAUCCACACGGGGCGGACACGAAGCUCAAUGCUUUCAGGUCAGCCCGCACCAUUUCUUUGAUUGGCUAUGGCUUUUCUCCCACUGAGGACUGAGACAAUAAGCAAUUGGCAGGUUUUACGUCCUUCAUGUCUAGUUUAAAGGUUUUUUGAAAAAAAAAAUGAAGAAAGAAAAAGAGGGAAGAGGAAGGGCAAAUUGAUAAUCUUAAUUAAAUAAUGUGACUUUUAUUUUAUGUCUUGGGCACUAAGUUUGGUCUUUUAAUUUUAAGAAAAUGAAAAAAAUUAUAAUAAUUUUACUCUCCCCCAUCCCUCCUCUCUCGGUUUUCACACUCACUUAUAUUUCCCUCUCUCUCGGCUUUCUCUCUCCAUCACCAGCAUGCACUCAUUGCACUCAUUGCACACAUUAACAUAUACUCACACACGCAGUUCUCACGCGUACACACAGAUUACACACACACACACACACACACACCAGAAAACACAUGCACACACUAACACAAACAAAUCUGCACACACACCUCACUUUUUCCCUUUGCACUCUCUCACAAAUCACACACUGAAAAAGGAACAAAAGAAGAAGAAAGUGGGACAAAGGACAGCUUGGACUCAUGGAUUUCUUCACCAAAUUCUCCUUGUUCGAGUUGAAAGGCUACCAAUUUAAUGAAGGUUUUAGGCUUCUGAAAAUGCUUGAGGAUUUAAUGAUAAAAUCCUAUUCUGGUGCUUGUAAUGGGGCCUGGAGUUCAAUCUGACCCAUAUCUUGGCUGGCAAACCGGAUUGCAACUGAGCUGAGAUGGGUUGGUUCUAUUUGUCUAAAUUCACAUAUGCAACUGGAAUUUUGUAGCCAUGGUGGUACUGACUCUACAUUUUGCCUCUUCUUAUUACAAGAUCUGAGCCUGGUUAAACCGUGCAUACGAUGGUUUAUUACCUUGUCUAAACUCUUUAGUAUAUAGUUUGUCUAUUGGAUUUGUAGUUAUACUGGAUAUGCUUGAUUUACUUUCAAGGUCGCAUUUUCUUUCAGUAAUCUUGACCUAAAGUGGGAAAGAGACCCUGCUUUUGAAUGAAUAAUUCUGAACUUGCUCAUGAACAUCCAGACAUUGAUUCUGGUGGUCAUACAUACUUGUUUAGCAGAUCUUCUGCUGAAAGCCUUCAAAAGACCCUUCCAGUUGAUUACCUACCUCGAGGAGUUAGUCUUUUUCUGGUGUGCCAGUAUCAACCAACAUGGUUUUACCAGCUUAGCAAAAGGGUGCCCGUAAGUAAAAAGAAGAAAGAGCUUCUCUUGAGGCCUUAAGAGUUUUCUACAUUUUUCUCAAUCUUUCUCUUUCUGUUAUCGUCCUUAGACCAGUGAAAGUUGAGUUAUAUUGAUGAGCAUGUACCACACAUGUAAUUGUGUGGUUGAAUUCUUUCUUUGCUAUACUCUUGGCUGGAAGCAUCUUCUAUUUCUACUUGAGGUCAUUGAAAAUUUGGAAUGGUGAUUGUUCUGUCUUGUUAAAUGUUUGAUGAAUUAUGGUUCUUUGCUGAUAAUCAUGGCAAUGGUCGACUAACAAGGAAAAUAAAGAAGAAAAAUUAAUCUUGGUAGUGUCAAUUUUCCCAAGGGUUGAGCUAUGUAUCUUAAGCAACCAACUUUGCGUUAAGCAAUGCAUAUUUCAUCUCAUUUAGUACUUCAAAUUGUAGAUGAGGGCCUAAAGGUCCUCAUAACUCUAUUAUUAAUCACAAACUAUUUUUGAUGCAUGUAGGAAUUCCGAGUAAUAGUUGGCUUUUAUAGGAAACAUGCCUUAGCUAGGAUCGAUAAAUCUUAAGAUAUUUUGUGCCUAUCAAUGGAAAACAAUCCUUCUGAAAAAAGAGAAAAUGAAAAAAGAAAUUGCACAUUUUGGAACUUAUUACACUCAUGAGCCGGGAUGAUUUCUAAAGUAAAACCUCCUUUGUGAUUUUAUUGUUAUGGAAGUCUUGUAAACCCCCUCUAAAUGGGGUUUAAUUAGAAAGAGAUUUAGCCUUAUAUUUGUUUAAGUUGAAGUUUAGAUACAUUAUUGGAGGAGUUUUGCUUUUUCCAUGCUAGUUAAGAAUCAGAUGGACCUUUACGUGAAUGAGAAUUUUAACCAAGUCCACUGUUGUGAUGAUUGAUUUUAUUUAAAUUUAGGCUUUAAAUCACAUUAUUGUGGGAACGUCUGGGUUUUCCAUUCUAGUUAAUAAUCAGAUGGAUCUUUACAUUGGGAGAAUUUAAACCACCAGUUCACUGUUUUGGCAAUUUAGGGGACAAAAGCUUGCUAAAAGUUUGUUUUGAGCUCCAUUGAUUUUCAAAUUCCACAUUUAUGCAGGGUUAACGGAAUUGAAUUUGCUUUCAGUCAUGCAUUAUCUGACAAUUAAUUUCAUUUUGGUAGAGAAGUAAUAUGGACUGUGUUUUGCUAAAUGUUUGGUACGUGGAAAAUGUGUGUAGCUGUGAAUUAUACCUUGGUCCUUCAGUUGAGUUUAUUGGAUUAAAAGUUGCAGUUAGUGACAGUUAGCUGUCAGACAUCAUUGGAUCUGCACGAGCAAUCGUUUUGCACUUGUAGGAUUUUAAAAUAGUUUUAUAGUUGGAGAAUGUUGAGCGAAAUUAUGUGUUUUACAUGUCCUGCCUGCUGCUCUAAUGUUGGUUUGAAUGGAUACACUUGAUUUGAAUAUCAUGGGUGAGUUUUAUUACUCUUUCAAGCUGCUUUUGGGAUGCGUUUGAAACAGAUUCCUUACAGGAUCUUAUAGCAUCUACCAGGUAUAAGAAGCGAGGGCAAUACAAUUCAGCUUCGGUUAAAUCCAGGAUUUGCAGCAUUUACAUUUUCAUGAUGGAUCAUCAACGUAUACGUCAUUCAUAGCAUGUUCACUGUGGUACAAAAGGAUAUGAUUGUAGUAGCCAGAGGGUAAUGAGUAGAUUUCUGAUUACUUUUGUGGCGUAUUUUCUUGCUGAAGCAGCCCUUCCAAUGUGAGAGCCUCUUUUGUUGCUGCCGUAUGUAUGUUUGUUCAGGUUUUGUUUUUAAGAUGCAGAAGAGUGUAUCGACUACUGCUCAUAGGGGGAAUAGAGACGUGACAAUGUUGUGCAUUGCUGAGGCAAAAGAUGAAGGAAGUCAGUUUUUGUAAGCUGAGGACUGACUGACUCCAUCCCUCUGAAGGAUGUACCAUUUAUCUCAUUUCAAACCAGGCUUCAACACGAAGUGCAUUUUGUAAAUCCCAAGUUUAUUUGUUCGUUUUCCAUAUAUCAUGGUUCAUGGAGAUUAACCAAUCAGGAGUUUGUAUACUGGUAAAAAGGCUAGGUUUGUGGGGCAAUCAGUGUCUGGUUUUCACUCUUCAGUCUACUUAACAUUUGGUUGCUAUUGCAUUGAAUAUGGCUCUGAAGCUACCAUUGCAAUGGACAGUGGUAAAAUGUGAAGUUACUAUUGCAUCA